rnacentral:rRNA from 1 species
UACGUAGGGGGCAAGCGUUGUCCGGAUUUAUUGGGCGUUAAAUGAAGGCGUGUAGGCGGCCAGACAAGUCUGCUGUGAAAACUCGAGGCUCAAACCUCGAGACGCCGGUGGAAACCGUAAAGCUAGAGUCCGGAAGAGGAGAGUGGGAAUUCCUGGUGUAGCGGUGAAAUGACGCAGAUAUCAGGAAGAACACCCCGUGGCGAAGGCGGCUCUCUGGGACGGUACUGACGCUGAGGCGCGAAAGCCAGGGGAGCAAACGGG